rnacentral:rRNA from 1 species
UACAGAGGGGGCAAGCGUUGUUCGGAAUUACUGGGCGUAAAGGGCGCGUAGGCGGCCGCCUAAGUCAGACGUGAAAUCCCUCGGCUCAACCGGGGAACUGCGUCUGAUACUGGGUGGCUUGAAUUCGGGAGAGGGAUGCGGAAUUCCAGGUGUAGCGGUGAAAUGCGUAGAUAUCUGGAGGAACACCGGUGGCGAAGGCGGCAUCCUGGACCGGCAUUGACGCUGAGGCGCGAAAGCCAGGGGAGCAAAGCGGG